rnacentral:rRNA from 1 species
GUGCCAGCAGCCGCGGUAAUACAGAGGUCUCAAGCGUUGUUCGGAUUCAUUGGGCGUAAAGGGUGCGUAGGCCGCGCCGUAAGUCGGAUGUGAAAUCUCGGGGCUCAACCCUGAAACUGCAUUCGAUACUGCGGUGCUAGAGGACUGGAGAGGAAACUGGAAUUCACGGUGUAGCAGUGAAAUGCGUAGAUAUCGUGAGGAAGACCUGUGGCGAAGGCGGGUUUCUGGACAGUUCCUGACGCUGAGGCACGAAGGCCAGGGGAGCAAACGGGAUUAGAUACCCCUGUAGUCC